GACGAACGCUGGCGGCGUGCUUAACACAUGCAAGUCGAACGGAAAGGCCCUGCUUUUGUGGGGUGCUCGAGUGGCGAACGGGUGAGUAACACGUGAGUAACCUGCCCUUGACUUUGGGAUAACUUCAGGAAACUGGGGCUAAUACCGGAUAGGAGCUCCUGCUGCAUGGUGGGGGUUGGAAAGUUUCGGCGGUUGGGGAUGGACUCGCGGCUUAUCAGCUUGUUGGUGGGGUAGUGGCUUACCAAGGCUUUGACGGGUAGCCGGCCUGAGAGGGUGACCGGCCACAGUGGGACUGAGAUACGGCCCAGACUCCUACGGGAGGCAGCAGUGGGGAAUAUUGCACAAUGGGCGGAAGCCUGAUGCAGCAACGCCGCGUGCGGGAUGACGGCCUUCGGGUUGUAAACCGCUUUCGCCUAUGACGAAGCGUGAGUGACGGUAAUGGGUAAAGAAGCACCGGCUAACUACGUG
rnacentral:rRNA from 1 species